UAAUAAGGUUUUUCAAUAAAAGGGUGUAACUGUUUUUCUGUUGGUCAGAGAGAAAAUAAAAAUGAUAAAAAGGAAAGUAAUUAAACGAGAUUAUUUUUAACCAAAAGAACGGUGAAUGAAAGUGAAACAAUGAAGACAGGAACAUGGAAAUUUAGUACAGAACAGAGGUGAAGAGAGAAGGUGUGUUUUUUGGUUUGGUUUGAGACACACAGCGAAGAAUCAGGGUGGGACCUACCAAAUACGUUGUUGUUACAGAAACAAUUCCAACAUGGAAAGAGAAAAUUGAGAGAGAGAAAGUCACAGAUUUGUGAGCUGGUGCGCACGAUAAGUAUGUGUAUG
rnacentral:lncRNA from 1 species